rnacentral:rRNA from 1 species
GUCCACGGCCAUACCACCCUGAACGUGCCCAAUCUCAUCUGAUCUUGGAAGCUGAGCAGGGUCGGAUCUGGUUAGUAUUUGGAUGGGAGACCGCCUGGGAAUACCGGGUGCCGUUGGGG